CCUACGGGAGGCUGCAGUGGGGGAUAUUGCACAAUGGGGGGAACCCUGAUGCAGCGACGCCGCGUGGGUGAAGAAGCGCCUCGGCGCGUAAAGCCCUGUCAGCAGGGAAGAAAAUGACGGUAACUGAAGAAGAAGCCCCGGCUAACUACGUGCCAGCAGCCGCGGUAAUACGUAGGGGGCAAGCGUUAUCCGGAUUUACUGGGUGUAAAGGGGGCGCAGGCGGCGGUGCAAGCCAGGAGUGAAAGCCCGGGGCCCAAACCCGGGACGGCGCGUGGAACUGCGUGGCUGGAGUGCAGGAGGGGAAGGCGGAAUGCCUGGUGUAGCGGUGAAAUGCGUAGAUAUCAGGAGGAACACCGGGGGCGAAGGCGGCCUGCUGGCCUGCAACUGACGUUGAGGCGCGAAAGCGUGGGGAGCAAACAGGAUUAGAUACCCCUGUAGUC
rnacentral:rRNA from 1 species